UACGUAGGGGGCGAGCGUUGUCCGGAAUCAUUGGGCGUAAAGGGCUCGUAGGUGGCCAACUAAGUCAGACGUGAAAUCCCUCAGCUUAACUGGGGAACUGCGUCUGAUACUGGAUGGCUUGAGUUUGGGAGAGGGAUGCGGAAUUCCAGGUGUAGCGGUGAAAUGCGUAGAUAUCUGGAGGAACACCGGUGGCGAAGGCGGCAUCCUGGACCAACACUGACACUGAGGAGCGAAAGCCAGGGGAGCAAACGGG
rnacentral:rRNA from 1 species